ACGGAAGGCAGCAGUGGGGAAUCUUGCACAAUGGGGGAAACCCUGAUGCAGCGACGCCGCGUGAAGGAAGAAGUAUCUCGGUAUGUAAACUUCUAUCAGCAGGGAAGAAAAUGACGGUACCUGACUAAGAAGCCCCGGCUAACUACGUGCCAGCAGCCGCGGUAAUACGUAGGGGGCAAGCGUUAUCCGGAUUUACUGGGUGUAAAGGGAGCGUAGACGGAAUUGCAAGUCUGAUGUGAAAGGCAUGGGCUCAACCCGUGGACUGCAUUGGAAACUGCAUUUCUUGAGUACCGGAGGGGUAAGCGGAAUUCCUGGUGUAGCGGUGAAAUGCGUAGAUAUCAGGAGGAACACCGGUGGCGAAGGCGGCUUACUGGACGGCAACUGACGUUGAGGCUCGAAGGCGUGGGGAGCAAACAGGAUUAGAUACCCUGGUA
rnacentral:rRNA from 1 species